CCUACGGGUGGCAGCAGUGAGGAAUAUUGGUCAAUGGGCGGGCGCCUGAACCAGCCAAGUCGCGUGAGGGAAGACGGUCCAGCGGAUCGUAAACCUCUUUUGUCAGGGAGCAAAGGCGGCGACUAGUCCCCGGAUGAGGGUACCUGAAGAAAAAGCAUCGGCUAACUCCGUGCCCGCAGCCGCGGUAAUACGGAGGAUGCGAGCGUUAUCCGGAUUUAUUGGGUUUAAAGGGUGCGCAGGCGGCCUGUUAAGUCAGCGGUAAAAGCGCGGGGCUCAACCCCGGCGAGCCGUUGAAACUGGCGUUCUGGAGUUGGAGAGAGGUACGCGGAAUGCGCGGUGUAGCGGUGAAAUGCUUAGAUAUCGCGCAGAACCCCGAUUGCGAAGGCAGCGUACCGGCUCCACACUGACGCUGAGGCACGAAAGCGUGGGUAUCGAACAGGAUUAGAUACCCUGGUAGUC
rnacentral:rRNA from 1 species